rnacentral:rRNA from 1 species
UGGGGAAUAUUGCACAAUGGGCGAAAGCCUGAUGCAGCGACGCCGCGUGAGGGAUGGAGGCCUUCGGGUUGUAAACCUCUUUCAGUAAGGGUGAAGGCUCUCUUUUGUGGAGGGUUGACAGUACUUGCAGAAGAAGCGCCGGCUAACUACGUGCCAGCAGCCGCGGUAAUACGUAGGGCGCGAGCGUUGUCCGGAAUUAUUGGGCGUAAAGGGCUUGUAGGUGGCGUGUCGCGUCUGCUGUGAAAUUCCAGGGCUUAACUUUGGGAUUGCAGUGGGUACGGGCAUGCUAGAGUGCAGUAGGGGAGAUUGGAAUUCCUGGUGUAGCGAUGAAAUGCGCAGAUAUAAGGAGGAACACCGGUGGCGAAGGCGGGUCUCUGGGCUGUUACUGACGCUGAGGAGCGAAAGCGUGGGGAGCGAACAGG